UAGGGAAUCUUCGGCAAUGGACGGAAGUCUGACCGAGCAACGCCGCGUGAGUGAAGAAGGUUUUCGGAUCGUAAAGCUCUGUUGUUAGAGAAGAACGUUGGUAGGAGUGGAAAAUCUACCAAGUGACGGUAACUAACCAGAAAGGGACGGCUAACUACGUGCCAGCAGCCGCGGUAAUACGUAGGUCCCGAGCGUUGUCCGGAGUUAUUGGGCGUAAAGCGAGCGCAGGCGGUUCUUUAAGUCUGAAGUUAAAGGCAGUGGCUUAACCAUUGUACGCUUUGGAAACUGGAGGACUUGAGUGCAGAAGGGGAGGGUGGAAUUCCAUGUGUAGCGGUGAAAUGCGUAGAUAUAUGGAGGAACACCGGUGGCGAAGGCGGCUCUCUGGUCUGUAACUGACGCUGAGGCUCGAAAGCGUGGGGAGCAAACAGG
rnacentral:rRNA from 1 species